CGCUGGCGGCAUGCUUUACACAUGCAAGUCGAACGGCAGCACGGGGGCAACCCUGGUGGCGAGUGGCGAACGGGUGAGUAAUAUAUCGGAACGUACCCAGGAGUGGGGGAUAACAUAGCGAAAGUUACGCUAAUACCGCAUACGACCUACGGGUGAAAGUGGGGGACCGCAAGGCCUCAUGCUCAUGGAGCGGCCGAUAUCUGAUUAGCUAGUUGGUGGGGUAAAGGCUCACCAAGGCAACGAUCAGUAGCUGGUCUGAGAGGACGACCAGCCACACUGGAACUGAGACACGGUCCAGACUCCUACGGGAGGCAGCAGUGGGGAAUUUUGGACAAUGGGGGCAACCCUGAUCCAGCAAUGCCGCGUGAGUGAAGAAGGCCUUCGGGUUGUAAAGCUCUUUUGUCAGGGAAGAAACGACCCCUUCUAAUACAGGGGGUUAAUGACGGUACCUGAAGAAUAAGCACCGGC
rnacentral:rRNA from 1 species